rnacentral:rRNA from 1 species
AUGUCGUGGACUACUCGAGUCAUCCCUCUCCUCGUCGCCGCCACCUCCAUCUGCUUCCUCUCCGCCGCCGCGGCGUCCAACUCCACCUCGUCACACUCACACCCCGGCCACCACCUCCUGACCCGGCUCUCGCAAUGGCGGGAGCACUACCUGUCCGACGCGUCCUCGCACGCCGCCGGCGCCGGGGGCGUGCGCCGGCACACCGUCCUGGCGUGGGUCCUGGCCUUCCUGGCGGCGUCCGUGUCGAGCGCCGGCGGCGUCGGGGGCGGGUCGCUGUUCCUGCCCAUCCUGAACCUGGUGGCGGGGCUGACCCUGAAGCGCGCCACCACCUACUCCUCCUUCAUGGUCACCGGCGGCGCCGCGUCCAACGUGCUCUACAACCUCUGGCGCGCGCGGGGCCGGCCGGCGCUGAUCGACUACGACAUCGCGCUGCUGUUCCAGCCGUGCCUGCUCCUGGGCGUCAGCAUCGGGGUGGUGUGCAACGUCAUGUUCCCGGAGUGGCUCAUCACCGCGCUCUUCUCGCUGUUCCUCGCCUUCUGCACCGCCAAGACGUGCCGCGCCGGGGCCAAGAUCUGGCGGUCCGAGAGCGCCGGCGCCGGCGCCCCCGCCGCCGCCGCGCGUCACGACCACAAGGAGCCCCUGCUGCUCGGCGGCCUCCCGCAGCCCGCCGAGGACGACGGGGGCCAGGCGGCUCGCAAUGGCGGCUCCGGCGCCGGCGCGGGGUUCCCGUGGAAGGACGUGGCGGUGCUCGUCGUCGUCUGGCUCUGCUUCUUCCUGCUCCACGUCUUCAUCGGAGAUAAGCACGGGAAGGGAGUGAUCAGCAUAAAGCCCUGCGGAGUGGCAUACUGGCUUGCCACCGUGUCCCAGGUGCCCUUCGCCGUGGCUUUCACAGCCUAUAUCAUAUACGCAAAGAGGAAGAAGCAGGCUGCACAUCGCCACGAAGAUGGCAAGGCAAAUUCUUCUGUGCACACGAAGACGGAGAGCUUGCCGGCGCUCGCGCUCCCGCUGGCCGCUUUCGUGACCGGAUCUCUGAGCGGCCUCUUCGGCAUCGGCGGAGGGCUGCUUCUCAACCCCGUUCUCCUUCAGAUCGGGAUACCCCCGCAGACUGCGGCGGCGACGUCUUCGUUCAUGGUGCUGUUCUGCGCGUCCAUGUCGAUGGUCCAGUUCAUCCUGCUGGGCAUGGACGGGAUCGGGGAGGCCUCGGUCUACGCGGGGAUAUGCUUCUUCGCCUCGAUCGCCGGGGUGGUCCUGAUCGAGCGGGUCGUCAGGAAGUCCGGGCGGGUGUCGAUGAUCGUGUUCCUGGUCACCGCCAUCAUGGCGCUCAGCACCGUGAUCGUCACCUGCUUCGGAGCCCUAGAUGUCUGGACGCAGUACACCGGCGGAGCGUACAUGGGGUUCAAGCUGCCUUGCUGA